UCUUUCUUUCUUUCUCUAUCUAGCUGCCUCGCUGGGUGCAUUUGCCUGCUUUUUGUGUGCUUGUAGCAAGGCGCAAGCUAGCAAAGGGGGUGUGUUUAGCAGCCUCAGAUGCGUAAUAAGCGCAUAGGCAUAUGCUUGUAUGUGUGCAUGUGUAUGUAACAUGCAUACUUACAAUUGUUUGUAUGUAUGUAUGUAUGUACAUAUGCAAGCGUCUCACUGGAGAAAACAUGUCAAACAAAGCAAAACGAAGCAAAAACGGAAACGCAGCACACGAAACGGCAGCAGCAGAGCCAACAAUGACGUCGAAGUUAACGUCAACGUCAACGUCGCGUCGCGCCAGCAGCAGCGACAGCGACCAACUCUAUGCCAAGCAGAAGCGAAUUUAAAAGCCAAAAGGAAAAAACUGAGAUUGCGAUGAAUUAAGUUUUUGGCUGCGCGCAAAAAUAAACAAAAACAACAAA